GCCACGCUUCCCCACCGCACCGCUAGGCUGGCGGGCAACCACGGACAAGCCCUGGCUUGCCCGUUAAGACCCAAGGUCCGGCCACCCCCAGCGUCGCGUCAGCCUUGGGGCACCGGGCUAUCGGCCUGCCCGUCUCUCCCCGGUGAGGAGCCACUGUCCCGGCCGUGACACCGCCCAAGGCCGGGCCGUCGCCCCAGCUGCGGCGGUCACGGGUUCACAUCACGCUUCGAUCAGGCUCCCGACACGGAGCCAUCUUGUCCCCCGGAGCCGCCGCCCGGCCCCAGCCUCCCCCCCGGCAGGGGGGCUCCCGGCUNNNNNNNNNNNNNNNNNNNNAGCGCCGCCUCCCGCACUGGCGCCCCAGGACCCACCCUCACGCGUGAACGUCACCGAUAAGCGUUUCUCUCGCCCAAUUAGAGGGGCCGCCGGCUCGCGCGGGGUGGGAGCGAAGGUGCCGGGGAGUGUGGUGCCGGCCGGCUGGGCGGAGACGGGGGGCAGCCGGGAGGCGGAGGCAGCCGGCGAGAACCGGUGGGAGGUCGGCCCAGUAGGGCAGAAGUGGAGUGGGAAACAAUGUGGACUUCAGCCUUGAGCUGUCUCUCGCCCAGAAGAAGCCCCUUCUCCUCAGGCACAGGGUUUACUGACGGGCGGACGUCUCCAGGGUGAAAUGCGGCAGUGGGAAACACCUGUGGUGUCACUUCCGUGCGUAACUGGUGGAGACACGGGAGUCAGUCCCCACAGCCAGAUACUGCCGGCCUGGAAGACACCUCAAUGUGGGUCAGCGCUAGCUUUAUGAAAUAACGGCCUAUUUUUAGCUUCAGUUAGGCUGAUACUGUUCUAGUUACAUUUAACCAGUUACGCCUUUCUUCUGCGUGAUAUUUUACUGUCACUCUGCACAUUACAAGAGUCUGCAGAAGUUGUUUUUCAUCUAGAAAAUACAUAGCUCAAUUCUGAAUCUUGGCAGUUUGUGUUGGCUUGUACAAAGCACGGCCAGUCUGUGGCUUUGCCUAAAUUGUCUGAUUUUCUUUAACCUGAAGAGACCAUGGCUUGUACAGAGGAGGUUUUCAUGGUAGUCUACACGACAGAUGUGUUACUCAGUGUCUGUAUUACCUUUCACUCCACCUGGCUUCAAGUGAGCGUAAGCUAAUUUCUGACUGGGAGCCAUGUCUCUGCUAGGAUAAUACAUUCAGCUUUUCUGGGUUAUAAACUACAUCUGGGCUGCAUUUAUUUACAGUUGAGUGUUUUUAUUUUCUGACUUGACUCUGAGCUUCUGUCUGAUGUACUUGCAGCUGUUUCUACUUCUCCAUGUAAAACUUAUUGAAAAUAUGCACAGAAUCCUACCAAAUAAUAAGAUGAUCCCAAGGUUAAUGACUGCUUGGAAUAAUGUGGAGUUUUUUGUUGGUGGUUACAGUGAUAGGAAGCAUUUUAGGGAAGAAGAAAAAGUCAACACAGCUCCCCUCGUUAGUCAAGUUUGAAGUUUGUUCUGGAUAAAGUUCUGAGACAGAUCAAACAGUUCUUUACCUACUUUCGUCCACACUGUUGGGUUUUGGUGCUUUUUUUUUUCCUGCAACAAUGCAGGCUUUUGUUUACUUUUCAUUGCACAUUAAACUGAUCAGGAUUUUAGGAUCAAAUUACUUUCUGCGACAACAUCCUUUCAGUGCUGUGGCACAAUAGGUUGGAAAUAAGAGUCACUGGCAGUUUCUUUGAGACAGUAUACUCUAAGAAGAAAGGAUUUAGAUCAGAAAGCUUUUAGUCUAAAACCAUCGUUUAGUCUAAACCCAUGUGAUUUUUUUUUUACUUUUUUUGUUUUUAAUACAAAAGAAUGCCUGUGUCAUUUUAACUAUUUAAGAUUAAUUUAUAUUGUGAUAGUCCCUAUCUGGACCCCCUAGUUGUGAUUAAUUAUAUCAUACUAGUUGGUACUUAAGAUGCAGUUCCUGUGCUUUACACUGUGAGGUGACAAGAAUUACAUGGAGUGUUACAAGUAGACUACAAUAAAGUAGUCCACUAUUUCA
rnacentral:lncRNA from 14 species